rnacentral:rRNA from 1 species
UGGGGAAUAUUGCACAAUGGGCGCAAGCCUGAUGCAGCAACGCCGCGUGAGGGACGACGGCCUUCGGGUUGUAAACCUCUUUUGGCAGGGAAGAAGCGAAAGUGACGGUACCUGCAGAAAAAGCACCGGCUAACUACGUGCCAGCAGCCGCGGUGAUACGUAGGGUGCAAGCGUUGUCGGGAAUUAUUGGGCGUAAAGAGCUCGUAGGCGGUUUGUCGCGUCUGCUGUGAAAACCCGAGGCUCAACCUCGGGCCUGCAGUGGGUACGGGCAAACUAGAGUGCGGUAGGGGAGAUUGGAAUUCCUGGUGUAGCGGUGGAAUGCGCAGAUAUCAGGAGGAACACCGAUGGCGAAGGCGGAUCUCUGGGCCGUAACUGACGCUGAGGAGCGAAAGCAUGGGGAGCGAACA